GGCAUCUUGUUUCUUAAAAUCCAAAUAAGCUGCUGCUGGUCACAACCCCCAACUCAACAUUCACACUCACAUGUAAAAUUGGCUGCAAAUAGAUGCGCAAUUUCACAACCGUACAUCUUUGAAAAGCAGACGUAGAGCCUCCUGCACAACCA